rnacentral:rRNA from 1 species
GACGAACCGUCCAAACGUUAUUCGGAAUCACUGGGCUUACAGAGUUCGUAGGCGGUCCAGAAAGUUGGGUGUGAAAUCCCUCGGCUUAACCGAGGAACUGCGCUUGAAACUACCGGACUCGAGGGAGAUAGAGGAAAGCGGAACUGAUGGUGGAGCGGUGAAAUGCGUUGAUAUCAUCAGGAACACCGGUGGCGAAGGCGGCUUUCUGGGUCUUACCUGACGCUGAGGAACGAAAGCCAGGGGAGCGAACGGG